UGAUGAUGUAGUUGUUGUAGUUGAGAAUUCAUUAUAACCAUUAAUGUUUGGAACAAGGUACCAAACACGUCUGAAGCUUUUGGACAGUUCCGACAGUUUAGCUGUCGAACUCAACAUUUAUAAACUGUCGAAAUCGACAGUUGACGCCCUUCAUUUUACCUUAAUUUUUUGCAUGGGUUUAAAUAUUCGAAAGUGCCACUUCCAUGCUAUUACAUGUCGACAUAUUGAUUGUACAGAAUUCUUAUCGUUCUAAUCCCAAUAUCUCAGGAAUGGACAAUCAUUUCAGAUUCAUCAUGUCAUAUAGAGGAAAGUUCAUUCAUGUGGAUGACGAAUGGAAGUGGACAGGGAACAAAAUCACUUCCAUUUUAGUGCCGAUAAGUAUUACCCUAGCCGGACUUCUGUUACUGUUGAAUGACAAACUUGGUGUUAUUAAUCCGCGCACCAAAAUUGAAUUGAAGUUCAGAGUCC
rnacentral:lncRNA from 1 species